GGGGGCAUAGCUCAGCUGGGAGAGCAACAGACUGAAGUUCUUUAUGUUUUCCUGUGUUUCUGGAGGUCCCCAGUUCGAUCCUGGGUGCUCCCA